UUUUAGUUUUUUUUUAUUAUACUAUUCUAUUAAAGAAUAACUGAAUUACAACUUAACAUCUUGCUGAAUAUGCAUAAGGAAAUAAUGGGACAUUUAAGCAUACUAGUGCAUGCUUAUAAAGUUAUAAAUAGGUCUAGCGAGCUAAUAGGAUAUGUGAGUCAUUCUUCUCUUCAACAUUAACGCAAGGCAUACAUAAAUACAUAAUUGCAUACUCAUAUUAUUUCUCAUCUUCAAAGGUAUUCGAUCUCUAUACUCGAUCUUCUUCUCUCUCUCUUGAUCCCAUAUUAUUUUUCAGGGUGAUGUUGAUAAAUGAUAAUACACUUUGCAUUUAAGAAGAAGCACAUUUAAGAAGCAGCACAUUUAAUUAAGUCUCUUGGAAGAUUAAGUAAGAAAAGAUGGAACGAGUUGCAGUGAUAGGAGGAGGAAUAGAUUGGGAGCAGCUUAUGAGCUAGCAAUGCAAAGGCAGGCGUAAGUGUAACAUUGUACGAGAAGCAGGAUCACUUGCAUUGGGUGGUCAUCCUAAAACUGUCAAUGUUGAUGGCAUUGAUAUUGACCUUGGAUUCAUGCUCUUCAACAGGGUAUAUAUGUUUUUUCUUCCUACUUUUGCACAGUUCCUAAUUAAAUUUGCAUAGUUGACGACUUAAAAGUUGAAAUCUAAAAUUCCAACACAAAUACAUAAGUCGUUACUCGUUAGAACUAAAUACAGAUCGAGUACAUCAUAGAUUCAAUCAACAAUAAUAGCCUAAUAAAUAAAAAAACUUCAUCAAAAGCCAUGCAAUAUGUGAGUUAAUACUCAUUAGGCUGAAUCAAGAUAAAUAACGUACAACCUAUGCAAUUCAUCUAUCUAAUUUAUAUUAUAAACAGUUCAAUAACCCUUUUCCCAGAUUUUGAAAGCGAAGCAUGAUCCAAAGCACUCUAUCUUUAAGUUAGAAGCAUGAGCCAUUAGCACCAAGCAACCUGUUAUCUUCAUCCACGUACUUCAUCUUAAAUUUGCCGACCUUAAGUUUAAGCCUCGUGGCCACUUCGUACUCAAGUUGCUCAAUGAUCAGUCUUCGAUCUUUAGUGAAUCUUUUUUACGAAUAACUAUCACCACAAAAGUACUAGGAUUUCCAUCCAAGUUGUGCAUCAGUAUUUGUCCACGUACCCUCAUUUGCACCAUUUGAACGCUCCUAUCCUCGACUUGUUGUCCGUCCACCUGGCUGGCGUUGAUAUUCCAAGGAGGGCUCUUCAAAUGUUCUUCUUGAGGUUUGGACAGCAUUAUCCAAAGAUGAUACAUGAUUUGAAACUGUAUGGUCAUGAGCUGCGUCCUCAUGUUGUUUCAUUUUUUGGGGUCUUGGCCAUUUCAUACCCGCUCUGAUCUUGCCAAAUUACGCACCACUGUAGGUCUUGAAACUGGUUUUGGCAUAGCAAAUUUAAGACAAGAUCACCAUAAAUACGAAAUUGUGAAUUAUCAAUAAAGUAAACCACCAUAGAUGAAUUAUAAAGUAUUCAAGUAUAUGCAUUAUCAAACUCCACAGGCACCUACAUGUGCUGUCGUGAGCUGCAACAUCAUGAAGUUUGUUAUGCUGUCAUUUCGUUUCAGUCUUCACAGGGAAGUUGCUUAUGCAUCUUGCCAGCUCAACUCCUAUUCUAACAAACUUCUCACACUUGUCAUUUUAUCAUGAAGUUUGUUAUGCUGUCAUUUCGUUUCAGUCUUCACAGGGAAGUUGCUUAUGCAUCUUGCCAGCUCAACUCCUAUUCUAACAAACUUCUCACACUUGUCAUUUUAAGGGUCCUUCUCAUUAUAUAUAUAUAGAAUCGGGAUCCGGUGAAAAUUUGUAAUUAUGUGAGAAUAGAAAUAUAUAUGAGAAUCAACCACAACCCUUAGAUCAUACAAAACCUAAGGGUUGCAAUUUGUCCAAAUCACUAACAACGAAACCUUGUGUUUCGCGGCAACCUUUCAAUUGAGCGUAGAACAUUACCUUUCACAGGAGGAAAAAAAACGAAAACUCAUACCACUCAUCAUCGAUCAACUGAUUGCAAACAAAAUCUGAAAUUCUAUGCGUGAUCGCAAUCCAUACAUCAAGUAACUUUUGGUGCUGCACUUUUUUUUCAAUUAUCUCCAAUUGCUCGAAAUGGAUGACAUGGAGCAGUGGAAGGCCAAGCUCUUUUCUUGAUGCGUAUUGAUUUUACAGUUGCUAUGUAGCAUGUAACUACAAUUAGAACAAAUUUUACUUUUAUUAAAAUGCAACUGCAUUUUAUUUAUAGGCUACAAAGAGAGUAUAAUUCGAAUUUGGUCACUUGUCUCUA